CUACGGGUCGCACCAGUGAGGAAUAUUGCACAAUGGGGGGAACCCUGAUGCAGCAACGCCGCGUGGAGGAUGACGCAUUUCGGUGUGUAAACUCCUUUUAUAUGUCAAGAAAAUGACGGUAGCAUAUGAAUAAGCACCGGCUAACUCCGUGCCAGCAGCCGCGGUAAUACGGAGGGUGCAAGCGUUACUCGGAAUCACUGGGCGUAAAGGACGCGUAGGCGGGUUGGAAAGUCAGGUGCGAAACCCUACAGCUUAACUGUAGAACUGCACUUGAAACUUCUAAUCUAGAGUAUGGGAGGGGGAGAUGGAAUUAGUGGUGUAGGGGUAAAAUCCGUAGAUAUCACUAGGAAUACCUAAAGCGAAGGCGAUCUCCUGGAACAUUACUGACGCUAAGGCGUGAAAGCGUGGGGAGCAAACAGGAUUAGAUACCCCCGUAGUC
rnacentral:rRNA from 1 species